rnacentral:lncRNA from 1 species
GUUACACUGAAAACAGCCACGGUUGCUUGCUCGGCAGAAACAGAUUUCAGCUUCAGGAGGAGUUCAACAAUGACGCUGGUGGGAAUGGGGGACGGCCGCUCCUCCCCUGCCACACACCAAUCCUUGGCAGCGCAGUGGAAAGAUGCGAAGAACUUCAGGCUUCUUCUAUGUGGUGAUGGUGGUGGAUCCUCUGAUGCCAGUGGAGGCUGCUUGUUGCUACUUCCAUUUUACAGACUGACUGGGGAGGAGACCUCCACUUCUCCAAAAGGCCACAGGCAGCUGUGGCUCAGGUGCAACCUGUAAACCCCUCAGCCCUGGUGCUGGUGCUGCAGAAAUAGGAAGAAGCAGGUAGGAUGUAGGGAGAUGUGAAGGAGCAAGCUCGGCAGAUUGAUUCACCUGCUGGCCUUUGCAGUGCUUAGUAGCCUUAAACCAGGACUCUGAGGUAUGACUUUAAUGAUUUCUCAGUAGGCCUCCUUCUUUGGGAUUUUAUUAAAGGAAAUAUGGUGCUUUGGUUUUUCAAGAAGUUAAGUGACUUGCUUGACUUUGGGAGAAAGGAACUGGACUAAGCCUUGUGUGACCACAGCAUAGUCCUUCCUCUGUUUAACUCAAGGCAGUAUCUUUUCUUUAAAAAAGGGGGAGGGGAGAAGAAUUUUACAAUACUUUGGGUUUUCUUUUUUUCUAACUGUUCUCUGGAGUUGUGGGAAGGCUCGUGCAUUGCAAGCGGCACACAUGAAAAUGCCAAACUCCUUCAAUUAUGGUUCAGCAACUUCCAGUGACCUCCCUGCCAUGCAUGCACAGGCUGCUCCCUUCUGCCCUCUAGCUACUCUGACUCCAUUUUGCAUUGAAAAUAGUAAGCUGGUCCUAGCCAAUUCUCAGUUUGUGGGGCUAAAUAUUGGCCCAGAUAUGUCUGCAGGACAAUUAAUGUAUUGUGUGGGUUAACURUCGAGUUAGAAUAAGAACCUUUUAGGAUUUGUUUUUUCUCUGGCUAAUAGCAAUCAUACCCAGCAAGUCUUAACAGCUGCUUCUGCUAUCUUUGAUUCUCUCAAAAUUACUCAAAUAUGUAACAUGAUGAGAGGUUGAUUUUAUGACGUUUCAUUUCUCCCAGAGCUCAUACAGACUUUCUCUUAUACAUAAUGAAACUAUUUAUUUUACACUUACAAAACAGCUUGUCCGUUUGACUUGUCAAAUAGGACUCUAUAAUCCUCCUAAAAAGUUCAUACUUACUCUUCCAGGUUGUGAGGGUCUGGAAUAUACAGUGUCUUGGCAGCUUUAAAAUCAAGUUCUCUUUUUUUUUUUUUUUUUUUUUUAAAUUAUCUCUCCCCAUGUGCAUUAAUUGCUAUCUGGAAACAGAGUCAUGCUUGGGCUCCACUCCCCCUUUUGAAUACAUCAUGAUAAAAAUUUUGCAGACCAAAUUAGGGCCUCAUAAUCUUUUCUGUAACCUGUUGUUUAUUAUGUUUUGUGGUAUCUGGGUUGCUUGUCCUGUGCAUGUUUACACAAAUAAAAACUACUAAUCAAAAACUUUGGCA